GACUUGACCUAGCUUACCUUGGGUCACCGAAAGGAUUUGAAUUUCUUCACUGGUAUUCAAACCUAAAUGCUUUGGGAUUCCAACAGAAUGAAGAUCAAUGUCUAUCCAGGAUUCCGGUGCCACACUAGGGCUACUGAGAUACUGAGUCUUGUAGAUUGAACAACUGCCAGAAUCUUGGCCUUUCCAUCAUGAAUUAGUCAUUAAUGGACUAUCCAGCUGCUAGACUGCAUCUGCUGAAACGGCCUUUGAACUUCAUCUUCUUGCUUCCAGAUACGCAGUGAUGAGAUUAUAAAUGUGUACCACCAUGACCAGAUAUUGAAUACUUACUAUAUGCCAGGCAGAAUGAUAAUGAAAAUUAAAGGUGAGCUAAGUGCAUCUGUUGUACAGGACAAAACAUUGGCUCCUGAAAGCACUGAGCUCCACUUCUUCCUAACCCCAUCCAACCCUGCUACCCCAAACACCAGCUCCAAGCUCUGGAGAAGGUAUGUUGUUGUCUUUACUGCUUGUUUGUCUGGUGCCUGUGGAGGUCAGAAGAGAGCAUUGCAUUUUCUGGAACUCGGGGUUGGGGAC
ensembl:lncRNA